AGGGACGGACACACUUAGGGGCUGUAUGUGGCUAAAGCCACACUAGUUUUUUCAAUUUCUUUUUUUUUUUAAAUAUAUAUAGUGAAAGAGAAAAGUUGAAAAGAAAAAAAAACAAAAGACAUAAUAGAAGAACAAAAGAAAGCACGAGUAUUUCUCUUCCUCUUCACUGCCACUCAUCUUCACAUCUUCGUCCUCCAUAAUCGCCGGCGCCGUCCACGUCCACCUUCCCCGACCCCAUAGCCACCAUCGUCGUCCUCCAUAACAACAGUCAACAAAAAGUACGUGUUGCUAAUUUGCUUCCAAUUUCCAAACCCUAAAAUUAAAAACCUUCAUUUCACCUUUAUAUUUUCUGGAUUCAUAUUUUAUAUGUUAUGAACUUAUGAUUCAACUUAGUAUGAUCCUUGGUCUGUGUUGUGCGCUUCAGUUUCUGUCUCUGAUGCAGUUGUUUUUGUUUUAUGUUUCUGGUGUAUGGCCUGGUUCUUGUGUUUUUUUUGCUAGUUUCUUGUGUUUUUUCUUACCUUAAUUAAUACAUUAUCUUUUUUAUGCUCAUUGUUUCUUUAUUUUUGUUUUUAUUUUAUUAAAUUUUCUUUAAGAUUUUAGCCACACCAGAUUUUCAUGUCUGGAUCCGUCCCUGCUUCCACCACUUCCUCAAUUACAUCAACUUUGAAACAUUGUGGUUCAUCAUCAUGGUGUUUCAUAGCUUUGAACACAUUGAACAUGACUUGCUCUCCAUGUGUUCUCAACAUAAGUUCUCCCAUCUC
rnacentral:lncRNA from 1 species